rnacentral:misc_RNA from 1 species
AAGUCGUAACAAGGUUUCCGUAGGUGAACCUGCGGAAGGAUCAUUAACAAAUUCAAAAACUGACAUCCCACUUCACGGUUUGGCUUCUUUUUCAUCCUCAUUAACAGUGAUGAUGGGGGAGGGGUUGAGCUUUGAGGUGGGGUCUAACAUACACACUUUGAUUGACAACACCUAGUGAUAUCUAGUUAAUCGUAGACAACUUUUAACAAUGGAUCUCUUGGCUCUU